ACCCCAGUACUGGUCCAAGCCCUGAAGACUGCACCCAGGAAAGUGGAGGUAUGGACAGAGGCAGCCGGUGCCUGAGGAAGCUCCACGGGGCAGGCAAGGCCCCCACGUCCAGUCUCAGCCCCUCUUUUGGCCACAUGCCGGAGAAGGAAAUUUUGUGCCUUGAAUAAUGAAUUCCCCUGGAGCCCACGGUACCUGUACUUCUCUUUAGUGUCCACUGAGAAUAACGUGUUCGACAUUCAAGUGACAACACUGGAAAGCAUUUCAAAGCCCUGGAGCCCCAGAACGCUGUACACCCCGACGGCUCUUCUGCCUGCCCUCUCUUUGGCUUCCAAAUGCAGCAAGCUCUUUCUUUACUUAAAAUGUGUUCAUCUUUCACACGCAUCCUGGAUGUACCACAGAAAGACAGUACAGAUAGGUAGGCUCUUAUUUCUGAAGCUGAGCUGGUCCCGCCCAGCACAAAGCUUUAAAGCUGCUAAGUCUCCAGGAUAUUAUCCAGUUUUUAAAAAUGGAAAAACUGGGAACAGGGAGGCUCAAUAUCUUGUCCCAGGCCCAAACAAGCUUUUCUGGAGUCAGUAUCAUUCAACUGGCUCAGGCUGGAUUUUCAUAAGAAAAGAUAAUAAACAUUUACUAAUGUAAUAAAAUAGACACCUUUUAAGUCACAAGCAGUAUCCAAACCUUUGGGACAUUCUAUGGUGCUGAACAGCUAUUUCAUAGAGGCUUUAUGUUAAGGAGCAAGUGCAGAAAAAAAUCUGAAAAUCUCAGUAAGAUGAGAAAACGAAAGCUUUACAAAAUGGUAGAAGAAAGUAGUCUCUCAUGCCUAAACUUCCAAAUAAGUUUUUGUUUGUUUGUUUUUGGGUUUUUAGUUGAGCAUUCUUUCUGGUUUGAAAUAGAUUCAGAAGGCUUUUUAAAACAAGUCACUUUUGGCCAAAUAUAUUAAGGUAUAACCAAAUGAUACCAUAGAUCCAUUUAGAAAACAGAAAGUUCUUUACUGACAUGAAAGGAUUUCUAAGACAUAUUCAUAAGUAAAAAAGCAAAUAUACUACUAUUUGUAUGGGAUGAAAAAAUAAAAGAAACAUGUAUAUACAUACUUGUUUGUAUAUGCAUAGACUAUCUCUCUGGGUGGAUGUUGCCUUUUAAGGGGGGAAGGCUGAGGUGGGAGGACAGAGUUUCUCUCCUUUAUCUAAAUCAGGGGUGUCCAAUCUUUUGGCUUCCCUGGGAUAUAUUGGAAGAAGAAGAAUUGUCUUGGGCCACACAUAAAAUACACUAACGAUAGCUGAUGAGCUAAAAAAAUGCAAAAAAAUCUCACAGUGUUUUUAGAAAGUUUCUGAAUUUGUGUUGGGCCACAUAUGGCCUUGAGGGCCACAGGUUGGACAAGCUUAAUCUAAAUCCUUUGUUAUUUCAGUUUUAAACAAUGUAAAUGAAUUGUUUGCUUAAAAAAUAAAUUAAAUGUAAUAAGUAUUAAUAUCAUUCAAGUGAUAACACAGCCAAGGAAUGACAAGGGUUAACUGAUAAUCCUGAUUUUUACAGGUAAUUGUGGUCAUUACUUCUACAUCUUUUAUCAUGUCUUUUAACCACUUGCCAAAGGAGGCGCUGAUGUGGAGUUUUCUCCUCUGCCUGCCCUCUGCUCUGCUCUAACACAGGCCCAAAUAGGCAGGGAAAUGACCCCGCAAUGGGUAUAGGAAAAAAUAGAAAAAGGAAACAAAGACUAGGUUUAAUCAACAAGUUAACAAAGGACAGCUGACUGCACUCAUUUACUUUCUGAGCUAGGACAUUUUCUUCGUGUCCUGAGAACUAUUUCAGGACUUUUUUUAAGUCCCUACUUAUUAACAUUCUAAGAGCUCUGAACUGAAAUGCAGAGAACC
rnacentral:lncRNA from 1 species